ACUGGCACAGAAGGGGAAAAAAUCCGUACUGUUGAAAUUCAGGAGGAAUGUGCAUACGAUUAGAAAGAUACACCCUUCAGAGGUAUGCUUAUCUAAAAUUAUCCUUUGCUGAGUCUCAUACGGGAGUUAACAUCAGAUUUCCAAAAUCUAUGCAUUUGCCAAAUCCUUUAUAUGCACAUUCUCCUUCAGCUAGACUUUCUGAGCUCAGCAAGAGAAAUAUUUGGAACACAAGAUUUUUUUAAAGGCACACAAUGAUCUAACUUGCUCAUCUAAUAGGAAAGGAAUUUUUAUCUUCCUUUUAAUUGACAACAGCUUGGAAGAUGUUGCUGCUGUCACCUGAUCAUGAUUUAUUUGUGCCAUUUCUAAAUGAUUAUCUGAGACAGCUGGCAAGGGUGGUUUAUGUUGAAGAUUGGGUGACAGAGAAGCAUCAGCAAUAUUUGAUGUGCCAUGUGGAGUGUGGAGGGCACUGUUCACCAUCUUCCUGGAAGAGGGAACGGCUGUGUCAUCUAAUUCCACGGUACUGCAGGCUGUCACUUUUAUGGUGCUGGCCAUGGAGUAUGCAAGAUUCCCUACCAUCUCUUUUAAUAGAGGAGAGGACGGAAGAGGCAGCACCAUUAUCUUGAGGAUGACCUCACCCCCAAAUGACUUCUGCAACCAUUUUGAAGCAGGCAACCAACCUCCCAGAGUACAAUGCAAAUAGUUCCUUCUACUGCUGCUCUUGUUGGAAGAGGAGAUAAACUGGGUGCCACACAUCACUGGGUAUCAGUGUCUGCAUCAGUCUGCAUAAGUCAAAGAAAGAUCAAGUCUCCCCUUCUCUUGGCAAGUGUUUUGCCAAAA
rnacentral:lncRNA from 1 species